CAGCCGCCGCGGUAAAACGGAGGGUGCAAGCGUUAAUCGGAAUUACUGGGCGUAAAGCGCACGCAGGCGGUCUGACAAGUCAGAUGUGAAAUCCCCGGGCUUAACCUGGGAACUGCAUUUGAAACUGUCAGGCUGGAGUCUUGUAGAGGGGGGUAGAAUUCCAGGUGUAGCGGUGAAAUGCGUAGAGAUCUGGAGGAAUACCGGUGGCGAAGGCGGCCCCCUGGACAAAGACUGACGCUCAGGUGCGAAAGCGUGGGGAGCAAACAGGAUUAGAUACCCGCGUAGUCCCUGUCUCUUAUAC
rnacentral:rRNA from 1 species